GGGAAUCUUUUCGUUUCUAAUAUAGAUAUUUGCCAGCUUCCUCCUUCACCCCGAACGGAACGUUAUUUUUCCUCCUGCGCGUCUUCUCUCUGCUCAGUAAUCGACGCCGCUGGCCAAUGCUUCGGUUUUGGCAUGAUGAAUCUCACAUGACCUCUACUAUGACUCUUGUCAUAACUAACAGUCUUCACUUCAAUCUCAUUCCAACAUAAUUGCAGUGGCACAAAUAGAUGGCCUUGUGAUCACACAACAACUCUCGGUAUUUUCCUCAGUCGGUGCUUCAAUGUGGCUGAAGUCUAAUCGUGAAUCCUGAUUGGUGCUUAAAUCUGGCUGGAGUCUCAUCAAUCACCGUCAAAAAAACCAUGCGCUUUGCUUCGAUUAAUCUGUUGUUACCCCACCAUCGUGACUUCUGCGUGACUGGGAAACGCAAGCAAAUAUCUGAUGUGGAGUCAAAUAAUUACCAGAAGAAUCUCUCGUUCCUGUUAAUGAUGAAUUGAGUAAAAAACAAAGGAUUUGUGAGCCUUCAAGGGUGCUACUUGUGUAUUUCSUGGGGGUGGAGGCAAUUAUUUCAACCAAGUUACAGGUUCGGGGGAAAGGAGAGCUAAAAAAGCAAUUCUUCUGAUAUAAAUUUUCAUGCACAUCUCAGGUAAAUGAAAUGAUGAUCUGAAUUACUUAUGAGAUAGGGAUUUGUAUAGGAUAUGUUUAUCUCAUUUUUUUUUCAGUGGGAUGUAUUUUAAAUUUAUGUACUUGUUUUAGCAUCAUACAUAUUUACUCGAGACUAUAGACAUGUACUUAAUAUAUGWAUUAAAACAUUCUAAGAGUCUUGUGAACUAAAUAUUAUGCCUUUCGCGUUAAACUGCAACUUAUAAUUUUACAAAGA